rnacentral:rRNA from 1 species
GACGAACGCUGGCGGCGUGCUUAACACAUGCAAGUCGAGCGGUAAGGCCCUUUCGGGGGUACACGAGCGGCGAACGGGUGAGUAACACGUGGGUGACCUGCCCUCAGCUCUGGGAUAAGCCUGGGAAACUGGGUCUAAUACUGGAUAUGACUCCACGGUGCAUGUCGUGGGGUGGAAAGCCUUGUGCGGCUGAGGAUGGGCCCGCGGCCUAUCAGCUUGUUGGUGGGGUGANGGCCUACCAAGGCGACGACGGGUAGCCGGCCUGAGAGGGCGACCGGCCACACUGGGACUGAGACACGGCCCAGACUCCUACGGGAGGCAGCAGUGGGGAAUCUUGCGCAAGUGGGCGAAAGCCUGACGCAGCGACGCCGCGUGAGGGAUGACGGCCU